GACACGCAUGACACACUGCAUAUCAAUAAGCGGAGGAAAAGAAACUAACAAGGAUUCCCUUAGUAACGGCGAGUGAAGCGGGAAGAGCUCAAAUUUGAAAUCUUCAAGGUUCUACCUUGACGAAUUGUAGUUUAUAGAAGUGUUUUCUGUUAGUAGAGUGGCAAAAGUUCUUUGGAAUAGGACAUCAUAGAGGGUGAGAAUCCCGUAUUUGGUCAUUCCUCCUAGCUUUGUGAUACACUUUCAACGAGUCGGAUUGUUUGGGAAUGCAGUCCAAAAUGGGUAGGUAAAUUUCAUCUAAAGCUAAAUAUUGGCGAGAGACCGAUAGCGAACAAGUACCGUGAGGGAAAGAUGAAAAGAACUUUGAAAAGAGAGUUAAACAGUACGUGAAAUUGUCAAAAGGGAAGCGUUUGACACCAGUGUUGUUUUUCCGAAAAUCAAUUACGAAUGUUUUGUUUUUGAGGAAGUUAUGACUUCAUCGGCUUGCUCCUUUCUUUAUGAAACUUUCUUAAUGCACUUUUCGGUUAACAAGUCAACAUCAAUUUCUUUUGUUGUAAAAGGGUAUGAGGAAGGUGGCUUUCUUUUCGGAGAAAGUGUUUAUAGCCUUGUACCUCUGCAAUCGGAGAGAUUGAGGUCUGCAGCGUAGAUCCUUCGGGGUUAGAUACAUUUGUGCUAAGUUAUAGCUUUUCAUAGACAACUUGUUGACUAUGUUAAGUCUUGUAGCUUACUCGCUUAUGCUACUUUACCUACGCUUAGGAUGUUGAACUACUGAGACAUAGA
rnacentral:rRNA from 1 species